rnacentral:lncRNA from 1 species
GCAGGGGUUAGACUGAAAUACAGACACUUGCACCUUCGUCACAGCGUCAGGAAAAAACCCUCUCUUUGGUUCUUCUUGUUCCCAGAGCCUCGCUUGCAGUGGUGAGGCCACACGGGAGAGACUCAGCAGAAGCGCGCACGGGGAACGCACAGGGUGGACGGGGACGGGCCUGCCGGACGGGUUCCCCGGGCCCUAUGGAGCUCGGCUCGGUCACCGUGGGGCCUCGGCCCCAGCACAGGGGUGUGUGACCAGUCUGGAGGGGGAGGCCCGGCCGUGCCCACAGCCACCAGACUCAGGGCUUGGUGGUCACCCGGCCCCCAGGAGACCCAGCUGGACGCUCCCCCACUUCUGACCCACAGAAGUGCCUUUGGGGGAUCCCAUCAGUCAUGCUGCGGGGCCUUCCAGCCCUGCCCAGUGAGCACUGUCAGCAGAGCUGUCCAGCCAAAGGACGUGAAGAGAAAGUCUACAAGAGAAUCUGGGCGCAUGAGCUGAAGACUGCUUGGGGGAAAGAGGCGGUGUGGAGACCCGAGGGGCCUCCUCUUCCCUGGUGCCCUUGGGGGCCGCACCCCGCACACCAGGCACUGUCCCGGCCUCAAGGUCCUGUGGGCAAGGAGGUCUCCGCUCCGUGUCCUCUCGCCCGGCCACCUGUCUCUGGGACUAAAGCUCGUCCUGAGGCCGCUGAGGGCUCGCUCUCCCCGGGGACGCUGUGCUAGCCCUUCUCUGGGUCAGAGGAUGGCUCAGGCGCGCUGUGAGGGGGCCCGCCUGGCCGAGAGCCCCCAGCCCCGUCAGAGCAUCUGCGGGGGGCGGUGUGGGCACUGCAGAAGCCGGCGGAAGAGACCAAAGGGAAGGAAGGGCGGUGCUGAGGGGGGCCUGCCGCUCUACCCCAGGGCUCGGGAGUUACCCGUGGCUCCCAGAUAGCCAGUCUGCUUGAGACCCCCCCUCGGC